CGGAGGGUGCAAGCGUUGUCCGGAUUUAUUGGGUUUAAAGGGUGCGUAGGCGGCUUGAUAAGUCCGUGGUGAAAGCCAACAGCUCAACUGUUGAACUGCCAUGGAUACUGUCAGGCUUGAGUACAGACGAGGUAGGCGGAAUGGAUCGUGUAGCGGUGAAAUGCAUAGAUACGAUCCAGAACUCCGAUUGCGAAGGCAGCUUACUAGGCUGUAACUGACGCUGAGGCACGAAAGCGUGGGGAGCGAACAGGAUUAGAUACCCUGGUAGUCCACGCUGUAAACGAUGAUAACUCGAUGUUGGCGAUACACAGUCAGCGUCUUAGCGAAAGCGUUAAGUUAUCCACCUGGGGAGUACGCCCGCAAGGGUG
rnacentral:rRNA from 1 species